AAGUUUGAUGGCGACCGGCGCACGGGUGAGUAACACGUAUCCAACCUGCCGAUGACUCGGGGAUAGCCUUUCGAAAGAAAGAUUAAUACCCGAUGGCAUAGUUCUUCCGCAUGGUAGAACUAUUAAAGAAUUUCGGUCAUCGAUGGGGAUGCGUUCCAUUAGGUUGUUGGUGGGGUAACGGCCCACCAAGCCUUCGAUGGAUAGGGGUUCUGAGAGGAAGGUCCCCCACAUUGGAACUGAGACACGGUCCAAACUCCUACGGGAGGCAGCAUG
rnacentral:rRNA from 1 species